rnacentral:rRNA from 1 species
CCAGCUGCGUGAAUUAAUGUGAAUUGCAGAACACAUUGAACAUCGACACCUUGAACGCACAUGGCGGCCUCGGGUAUACCCCGGGGCCACGCCCGUCUGAGGGUCGGUUGGCUAAAGCGAUCGCUACAUGUCCGUUUCGUUUCUUUCCUAACCUGCGGCGGCUCCUCUUGGAUGCACUGCGGGUAGGGGAGGGAACAGGUAGCGCAUUGGGCCGUCGCGGAUAGCGAUGACGACGCCAGCUCUCGGCGUUUCGUCGCACGUCCUCGUGGCUUUAAGUACAGGAUGCGCCGUCGUCCUCUCUGUCCUUCGAAAGACUCAUGCUCGCCUCGUCGGUAGUCUCUCGCUGCGUGACAGGUACCCCGGCUCGUGUUUUAUUACGCUUGUCGUACGGACCCAUCAUGCUGGAAACGUUCGGGAGAUAGGCCGCAUAGCAGAGUGCAUCGUUGUGACUAACGGCGCCCGCCUACCAUAUCGGGGGCGUUAAACAGACAACCGUCAAAACCCCGCGUGGGUUUUUUUAUAUUUCCGACCUCAGAUCGGACGAGAUUACCCGCUGAAUUUAAGCAUAUUACUAAGCGGAGGAAAAGAAACUAACAAGGAUUUCCCUAGUAACGG